UUGGAGGGCAAGUCUGGUGCCAGCAGCCGCGGUAAUUCCAGCUCCAAUAGCGUAUAUUAAAGUUGUUGCAGUUAAAAAGCUCGUAGUUGAAUUUCGGGAUUAGUACGCUGGUCGUGCCUUCGGUACGUACUGGUGUUACUGAUUUCUACCUUCUGACGAACCAUCAUGUCAUUAAUUUGGUGUGGUGGGGAAUCAGGACUGUUACUUUGAAAAAAUUAGAGUGUUUAAAGCAGGCUCGCGCUUGAAUACAUUAGCAUGGAAUAAUGAAAUAGGACGUUGAUCCUAUUUUGUUGGUUUUUAGGAUUGACGUAAUGAUUAAUAGGGAUAGUUGGGGGCAUUAGUAUUCAAUUGUCAGAGGUGAAAUCCUUGGAUUUAUUGAAGACUAACUACUGCGAAAGCAUUUGCCAAGGAUGUUUUCAUUAAUCAAGAACGAAAGUUAGGGGAUCGAAGACGAUCAGAUACUGUCGUAGUCUUAACCAUAAACUAUGCCGACUAGGGAUCGGAUGAUGUUAUUUUUAAUGACUCAUUCGGCGCCUUACGGGAAAC
rnacentral:rRNA from 1 species